ensembl:lncRNA
CCAACAAAAAGCAUCCUGUGACAUCCACUGGGGCAAAGAAAGACAAUGGAGAGCCUGGACUGGAGCGAAGUGGGUGACUGUGAUGGCAAGAACUUCAUCUCAUUAUUCUAACUACUCAUUCAGGAAUACAUUAUCAAUAUUAUGGUGUCAGUUCACCAGUAACAUAAUCUCAGAAGCAAACAACUUUAAAAACAAAACCCCUUGGGACACACUAACACUGGACAUCAAGACACCCUUCCUUGAUCUUCACAUGGACACAGUUCCAGUGACAGUGAAGAAAUCUUAAAAUGUCCUAAAGAGACAACUCUAAUUACCUCCCUUCACUGGGCAGCAAUGUGCUGAUUAUAGAAAAUCUUAAAAUGAAAUUUGUUUGAAGGUAUAAAGAGUGGAGAAGAGAAUUUGUCUAAUGUGGUGCUGACCCAUGGUGCUAGACAUGUGCUGUGUAAAAUGAUCCUUUCUCAAAUUCUUCUUGUGAACCAGCCACUAGGUGAGAGAAGAGUGAAGUGGUUCCCUUUUGGAUAAAUCAUUUGCAGCACCUUACCCUCAGGUCACCUCUAGGGGAACAGACAGGAGAAGAGAAAUGGAUCUUGUCCAGGAUCUUUCUGUAGGAAGCCAAAAGCUCAGUAUUGCUUAUGAAACAUAUUUUUGACUUUCUGAGGAAGCAUUUCCCAGCCAAAUGCUUUUCAUUUUUUUCAGCACAAUUAAAGGAAAAGGAAGAGGCAGGCUUGGUUUGAUCAAAACAGACAGCAGAUGCUGGAGAAGAAGAAUGGGGAAGGUUGUCAACUGGAGCAAAGAGGACAGAACAGCCUGCUGUGCAUGGGCACAGCUGGAAAGGGCCAUGGCUCCACAGCCUUUCUCUCUGAGGCUGGAGCCACUUCACCUUUUCAUGUGGAAGAGGACAGUCUACAAUAACUCUUGCAAGAAGGGAAAAAUAAUUCCUAAGCCUCAGUGAAAGAAGUGGCAUAACUCAGUGCAGGUCUACUUGUCUUAUACAACUAAGAAACCUGCCUGUGCCACCUCAAUGCCUGGUCUUCUCUGUGAAGCACUAGAGGGUGGAGAAGUCAGCACCAGGAAAACACUGCUCUUCCUCCUGCACUUGACCCUGCAUCACAGUGAGGCCCUUUCCCUUCCACGUGGCAGCAACCAGGUCUUUGUCAGCCUUGGAAACACCAGGUGCAUCCUUCCAGAAAUGCCUCCAGGGGAAGAUGAUCUACCAUAUAUUUUGAAUUCCUGAGAUUUUUGGAAGAAAAAAGAUAAGGGUCUUAUCUCUUUUUUUUUUUUUUUAGGAUAUCAUAAUCCUUUUUAUCAGAGAGGGGCUAGAACUCAUGACCCCUGUCUCUAAUGACUGUACACUUGGACUUCCAGCAUUGUCCCGUGUCUCUGUGAUUCAUGACAAAUCUGUGGGGCUGCAUUCAUAAAUAUGUAUUUCUGGGCCCUUGAAAAGUUUAGCUACAAAUUAGAAGAGCACUUUCAACCUUAAUUGGGAUAAGGCUGUUUUCUGCUGUGAUGUAGAGUAUUGGAAGAGCAGAAUGAAAAGUGGUUAGAGACAUGGGGAAACUUUCAUAAGAAGACAGAUUGAAAAGAGAGAACCUGUCUAGAUUGUAGACAAAAUGAGUAAGGACAUUCCACAUAAAAUAUGAACAGGCUAGGAACACUAAAUCCUUAAUGCUUUCUUCUAGAAGAAAAAAUAUGUUCAAUGAAGCUGAUACUCAGUAAAUGCAAAACCCAGGAAAAAAAUGUAAUUUUCACACAGCACACAGUCAGCUUGUGAGACUCAGGAUUUAAUUCAGGAGCUCAGCAGAACCCAAGGACGGAAUUCAUGGUGUGUACAGAGGAGGAUACUUUCAAGUACUAUGGCAAAGAUUGAAUUUGCAGCUGGAAAACUACAAGAAUUUGAGAGGGACAUAAACUGUCUUGUUCCAGGACAUAAGAUACUCACUAAUAGAGAGUAAAGGCAGAAGAUUCACUUGGGGCCAUUUAUUUUACAAUAGUUUGCCGCA